UACACCUGGGUGUAUCCCUGCUGUGUCUGAAUGGGUCCAGGUGUGCCCCAGGUGUGUUUGGGUGUGGCCCAGGUGUGUCUGAAUGGGUCCAGGUGUGCCCCAGGUGUGUUUGGGUGUGGCCCAGGUGUGUCUGAAUGGGUCCAGGUGUGCCCCAGGUGUGUUUGAGUAUGUCCCAGGUGUGUCUGAAUGGGUCCAGGUGUGCCCCAGGUGUGUUUGGGUGUGGCCCAGGUGUCUCUGGAUGUGUCCCAGGUGUAUCCCAGAUGCAUCUGGGUGGGGUCCAGGUGUGUCCUGGUGUGGCUGGAUGUAUCCCACCUGUAACCCAGGUGUGUCUGGGUGUAUCCCAAGUGCGUCCCAGGUGUGCCCAGGUGUGUUCUAAGUGCCCCCAGGUGUGCCCGGGUGUACCCCAGCACACCUAGGUGUGCCCAGGUGUGCUCUAAGUGCCCCCAGGUGUGCCCCAGCACCCCCAGGUGUGCCCAGG